UAACGACCUCAUGUGGUCAGCUCAGUCAUGAGGAAUCGCGGAAGAACCGUGUCUGCUGAGUGGCAAAGGCGGAAGACAGGGAAAGUCACGCGAACCUAAUUUACCCAGUUUACCUCAGACAAAUCACAAAGUCAUCAGGGCCAAACAUUCACCCGAACCCAGAAAUACAAAGAUUCCGGGUACAAAAACUAGUAUCAUCCACCGUCACGGCGGCGUUCGCCAAAAUAACCGGGAGUAAUUUUACAUUUUCGAUUCAGAUUUGAGUCCGCUGCCGGCCCGGCAGGAGCGUCGCGCGCCAUUGCAAAAUUCAUUUAAAAAUAUAACGCGUUUCGUUACUGCAGUGUUGUUUCUAAAUAUAGUUUUGUGUUGUGGAUCAUGAUUUUAUAUUGGUACAAACAGGCAGUAAUCAACUAGAAUUCAAUAACUUGUGAACAUUUAAAAAUAAAUGGCCCCAGUGUAUGUUAUGUGAAGUUCUGUGAGCGUGCGAGCGAGACAGCGACGGUGGCUGAAGAGAGACAGAAGAUGUCGCUAGUAGCGCCACGGCGGGUCCAAUUGGACUGGGCACCUUCUAUAAUACCUUGGGAGAAAGAGCCGACCUGCGAAAGGGACUCCUUCAAGCAGGGGCCGCACCAGUCCAACGGCUCCGAAUCCUCGUCAUCAUCAGCGGACACCGACUCCCAGGGGUCAGGGUCCGACGCGCGGCCCCAGCGAAAUGUGC